AGUAAUACAUAAGUAACCUGCCCUAGACAGGGGGAUAACUAUUGGAAACGAUAGCUAAGACCGCAUAGGUACGGACACUGCAUGGUGGCCGUAUUAAAAGUGCCUCAAAGCACUGGUAGAGGAUGGACUUAUGGCGCAUUAGCUGGUUGGCGGGGUAACGGCCCACCAAGGCGACGAUGCGUAGCCGACCUGAGAGGGUGACCGGCCACACUGGGACUGAGACACGGCCCAG
rnacentral:rRNA from 1 species